rnacentral:rRNA from 1 species
GUUAGGAAUAUUGGACAAUGGGCGAAAGCCUGAUCCAGCCAUGCCGCGUGAACGAUGAAGGCCUUCGGGUUGUAAAGUUCUUUAGCCGAUGAUUAUAAUGACUGUAGUCGGAAAAUAAGCCCCGGCUAACUUCGUGCCAGCAGCCGCGGUAAUACGAAGGGGGCGAGCGUUAUUCGGAAUCACUGGGCGUAAAGCGUGCGUAGGCGGUUUUGUAAGUUAGGAGUGAAAGCCCAGGGCUCAACCUUGGAAUUGCUCUUAAAACUGCAAGGCUCGAAGCUCGGAGAGGAUAGCGGAAUUUCCAGUGUAGCAGUGAAAUGCGUAGAUAUUGGAAGGAACACCAGUGGCGUAAGCGGCUAUCUGGACGAGUAUUGACGCUGAGGCACGAAAGCGUGGGGAUCAAACAGGAUUAGAUACCCUGGUAGUCC